GAUGAAGAACGUAGUGAAAUGCGAUAAGUAAUGUGAAUUGCAGAAUUCAGUGAAUCAUCGAAUCUUUGAACGCACAUUGCGCCCCCUGGUAUUCCGGGGGGCAUGCCUGUCCGAGCGUCAUUACAACCCUCAAGCUCAGCUUGGUGUUGGGCCCCGCCGCCCCGGCGGGCCCUAAAGUCAGUGGCGGUGCCGUCCGGCUCCGAGCGUAGUAAUUCUUCUCGCUCUGGAGGCCCGGCCGCGUGCCCGCCAGCAACCCCCAAUUUUUUUCAGGUUGACCUCGGAUCAGGUAGGGAUACCCGCUGAACUUAAGCAUAUCAAUAAGCGGAGGA
rnacentral:misc_RNA from 1 species